rnacentral:snoRNA from 1 species
UCGUCCAGCCUCCAAUUUUUGCUUCUCUUUCCAGCUCUGAUAGAGGACUUGUGGCGGACGUAGAUUAAACGCUCCUCCGUUAGGAGGGUUUCUUGGAGUAUUGAGUGGCCCUCAAAGGCACAAGAGGACAUU